rnacentral:rRNA from 1 species
AACGAACGCUGGCGGCAUGCCUAACACAUGCAAGUCGAACGAGACCUUCGGGUCUAGUGGCGCACGGGUGCGUAACGCGUGGGAACCUGCCCUUAGGUUCGGAAUAACUCCCCGAAAGGGGUGCUAAUACCGGAUAAUGUCUUCGGACCAAAGAUUUAUCGCCUUUGGAUGGGCCCGCGUUUGAUUAGCUAGUUGGUAGGGUAAAAGCCUACCAAGGCGACGAUCCAUAGCUGGUCUGAGAGGAUGAUCAGCCACACUGGGACUGAGACACGGCCCAGACUCCUACGGGAGGCAGCAGUGGGGAAUAUUGGACAAUGGGCGAAAGCCUGAUACAGCAAUGCCGCGUGAGUGAUGAAGGCCUUAGGGUUGUAAAGCUCUUUUACCCGGGAUGAUAAUGACAGUACCGGGAGAAUAAGCGCCGGCUAACUCCGUG